rnacentral:rRNA from 1 species
UACAGAGGUGGCAAGCGUUGUUCGGAAUUACUGGGCGUAAAGGGCGCGUAGGCGGUCUUGUCAGUCCCUUGUGAAAUCCCCCGGCUCAACUGGGGAACUGCACGGGAAACAGCAGGGCUUGAGUUCGGGAGAGGGAAGCGGAAUUCCGGGUGGUAGCGUGGAAAUGCGGUAGAUAUCCGGAGGAACACCGGUGGCGAAGGCGGCUCCUGGACCGAUACUGACGCUGAGGUGCGAAAGCGUGGGAGCAAACAGG